rnacentral:miRNA from 1 species
CCACUUUGCAACGAGCACAGC